rnacentral:rRNA from 1 species
GGGAGCGAUCAUACCAGCACUAAUGCACCGGAUCCCAUCAGAACUCCGAAGUUAAGCGUGCUGGGGUAAGAGUAGUACUAGGAA